rnacentral:rRNA from 1 species
AUUGAACGCUGGCGGCAGGCCUAACACAUGCAAGUCGGGCGAGAGGCGGACGGGUGAGUAAUGUAUGGGGAUCUGCCUGAUGGAGGGGGAUAACUACUGGAAACGGUAGCUAAUACCGCAUACCAUCAGAUGAACCCAUAUGGGAUUAGCUUGUAGGUAGGGUAACGGCUUACCUAGGCGAAGAGCCCUAGCUGGUCUGAGCGGAUGAUCAGCCACACUGGGACUGGGACACGGCCCAGACUCCUAGGGGAGGCAGCAGGGGGGAAUAUUGCACAAUGGGCGAAAGCCUGAUGCAGCCAUGCCGCGUGUAUGAAGAAGGCCUUCGGGUUGUAAAGUACUUUCAGUCGGGAGGCGUUACCGACAGAAGAAGCACCGGCUAACUCCGUGCCAGCAGCCGCGUAAUUC